UAAGAGGUCCUGCCUGCCCCGUGACCCCCUGUUUAACGGCCGCGGUAUUUUAACCGUGCAAAGGUAGCGCAAUCACUUGUUCUUUAAAUAAGGACCCGUAUGAAUGGCAAGACGAGGGCUAGACUGUCUCUUUUUUCCAGUCAAUGAAAUUGAUCCCCCCGUGCAGAAGCGGGGAUUUUCACAUAAGACGAGAAGACCCUGUGGAGCUUUAGACAACAGAGACAGACCUUGUCAAACCCCUUAAUUAAAAGACUGAACUAAUAGAAUUCUUCCCUAAUGUCUUCGGUUGGGGCGACCGCGGGGACAAAAAUAACCCCCAUGUGGAACAGGAAGAUCAGCUUCCCAGACCAAAGAGCCACCGCUCGAACUCACAGAAUUUCUGACCAAAAGAUCCGGCAACGCCGAUCAACGAACCAAGUUACCCCAGGGAUAACAGCGCAAUCCUCUUCUAGAGGCCCUAUCGACAAGAGGGUUUACGACCUCGAUGUUGGAUCAGGACAUCCUAAUGGUGCAGCCGCUAUUAAGGGUUCGUUUGUUCAACGAUUAAAGUCC
rnacentral:rRNA from 1 species